CCUGGUGGGAACUUGGCGCAAAGAUGAAAUGAACAUGAGCCUUAUCCCUUAUGACCCAACAUCCUCAUGUGUGUGAUUUGCCCUGUUCCAGAAAUGGACUGCACAAAAUAAGAGAUACAGAAAUUCCAGCGAGACCUACAUUCUCCCAGGUAGAACGAAAUCUCAAUUGUUACUCUGAUGUUCUUUGCUGCCUCACUCUACAUUGCUUUGACUGUACUGAUGUGAACACUAAGACACAAUAAGGGCCUAGUAAAAUAAUCUUCCAAUCUUCAAUUUCAUCUUCUGUGAAAAGUAGUUUAACUCAAUAGGUUGGAAACAGUGCUAUGAGCCUCUUGAUAGAAAUGACAUGAAAAACAUCAUGAGAUGUUCUGACAAAUCUGCUGCAUGAAUAUGAUGAUUUCAAAUAAUAAUUAUGUUCAUUAACUCUUAGAAUUUUUAUGCCAUGGUCUUAUAUUCUAAUAUUCUUUCUCAUGCCAGGCACCAUUCAAAAGGUUUUAUAUAUGCCAACCUAUAUAGUCCUCACAAUAACCCUAAAAAAUAGUAUACUUACUCUCCCCUUUUUAAAGAUGAAAAAAUGGAAAAUUAACUAACUUGCUCAGGUGCUGAUAAUCCCAAUACUACACCCAUCUCCUUGUCAUGAAUUCACUAAUCGUUUUGAUACGACAUAAGUCUUCAAUUCCCCUAUAAAUGCAAUUUUUCUGUUCUUGAUUUGAUUUAAAACAUCUCUAGAAUCCUUUCUAUGUCUAAAAUUACAGUGUUGGAGAAGAAACUAUCAGCUGUAAACGACAUUCAGAUAAUUCCCAUUAACUAUCAACUAUGUAAUUUUGUGUUAUUUUUACAUCACUCUUGUACUUUUUUUGCUUAAAAAAUUAAAUGAUUGCAUACAAAAUGAGACAAUUUUGUUCUUAUUUAAUCCUUACUGUGAAUACAGGCACAACAAUUACAUUAUUUUGAAGCUAUUGAUUGCUCUUUAAAUGUCCUGCUUCUGUAAUGAGGAUCUGCUGUAAUCAACCACAUUCUAAAUCUUCCCCUCAAUAACCUUUAUGGCUUUAGUUUUCUGUUGUUCACCUUUAAAAACAAUAGUGCCUCCCAAGAUUUGAAAUGUUCAGAUAAAGCAUUGUUUAUUUGAGUGUUCUUGUUAAAGAACCCUGACUCAAAGUAAAAUGUGUUUCACUAAGUUCCUUUAAGGAUGGUUUUUUAUAUUGCUCAUUCAACCCUCAAAAAAUUUCUCUGUGGGGUGA